rnacentral:rRNA from 1 species
GCCAGACUCCUACGGGAGGCAGCAGUGGGGAAUAUUGGACAAUGGGGGGAACCCUGAUCCAGCGACGCCGCGUGAGUGAAGAAGUAUUUCGGUAUGUAAAGCUCUAUCAGCAGGGAAGAAAGAAAUGACGGUACCUGACUAAGAAGCCCCAGCUAACUACGUGCCAGCAGCCGCGGUAAUACGUAGGGGGCAAGCGUUAUCCGGAUUUACUGGGUGUAAAGGGAGCGUAGACGGCAGCGCAAGUCUGGAGUGAAAUGCCGGGGCCCAACCCCGGAACUGCUUUGGAAACUGUGCAGCUAGAGUGCGGGAGAGGUAAGCGGAAUUCCUAGUGUAGCGGUGAAAUGCGUAGAUAUUAGGAGGAACACCAGUGGCGAAGGCGGCUUACUGGACCGUAACUGACGUUGAGGCUCGAAAGCGUGGGGAGCAAACAGGAUUAGAUACCCGAGUAAG